UUCAAGAUUGCAGUGAGGUUAGAGUUGCACCAUUGCCCUCCAGCCUGAGUGACAGAGUGAGAAUCAGAGUCUUGAAAAAAAAGAGAAAGAAGCUCUUCCUCAGCUGGCUUUCUGCAAGGAGAAGGCCAUGUUCAGCUCCAGCACCAAGAUCAUGAAGCCCAAUGGUGAGAAGGUAGACGAGUUAAGUUGGGUAUUUCCCAGUCCUUGCUGGAGCUGGAAUUGAACUCGGACCUGAAGGCUCAGCUGAGGAAAUUGAAGUUGGUGGUGGUAGGAAUGCUAUCAUAAUCUUUGUUCCCAUUCCUCAACUGAAAUCUUUCCAGAAAAUUCAAGUCCGGCUGGUACUUGAAUUGGAGAAAAAGUUCAGUGGGAAGCAUGUUGUCUUUUUUGCCCAGAGGAGAAUUCUGCCUAAGCCAACUCGAAAAAGCCAUACAGUAAAUAAGCAAAAGCGUCCCAGGAGCUGCACUCUGACAGCUGUGCACAAUGUGACCCUUGAGGACUUGGUCUUCCCAAGUGAAAUUGUGGGCAAGAGAAUCUUUGUGAAGCUGGAUGGCAGCCGGCUCAUAAAGGUGCACUUGGACAAGGCCCAGCAAAACAAUGUGGAACACAAGGUAGAAACUUUUUCUGGUGUCUAUAAGAAGCUCAGGGGCAAGCAUGUUAAUUUUGAAUUCUCAGAGUUUCAAUUGUAAACGAAAAUGACUGAA